GAGUUUGAUCAUGGCUCAAGAUGAACGCUAGCUACAGGCUUAACACAUGCAAGUCGAGGGGCAGCAUGUUGGUUGCUUGCAACCAAUGAUGGCGACCGGCGCACGGGUGAGUAACGCGUAUCCAACCUACCCUUGUCCAUCGGAUAACCCGUCGAAAGGCGGCCUAACACGAUAUGCGGUUCACAGCAGGCAUCUAAGGUGAACGAAAUGUGAAGGAGAAGGAUGGGGAUGCGUCUGAUUAGCUUGUUGGCGGGGUAACGGCCACAAGGCGACGAUCAGUAGGGGUUCUGAGAGGAAGGUCCCCCANAUUGGAACUGAGACACGGUCCAAACUCAUACGGGAGGCA
rnacentral:rRNA from 1 species